UACAGAGGGUGCAAGCGUUAAUCGGAAUUACUGGGCGUAAAGCGCACGUAGGCGGUUAGUUAAGUCAGAUGUGAAAGCCCCGGGCUCAACCUGGGAAUUGCAUUUGAAACUGGGAAACUAGAGUGUGUGAGAGGGGGGUAGAAUUCCAAGUGUAGCGGUGAAAUGCGUAGAGAUUUGGAGGAAUACCAGUGGCGAAGGCGGCCCCCUGGCACAACACUGACGCUCAGGUGCGAAAGCGUGGGGAGCAAACAGG
rnacentral:rRNA from 1 species